UGACCUAGCGGCGGACGGGUGAGUAAUGCUUAGGAAUCUGCCUAUUAGUGGGGGACAACAUUCCGAAAGGAAUGCUAAUACCGCAUACGCCCUACGGGGGAAAGCAGGGGAUCUUCGGACCUUGCGCUAAUAGAUGAGCCUAAGUCGGAUUAGCUAGUUGGUGGGGUAAAGGCCUACCAAGGCGACGAUCUGUAGCGGGUCUGAGAGGAUGAUCCGCCACACUGGGACUGAGACACGGCCCACACUCCUACGGGAGGCAGCAGUGGGGAAUAUUGGACAAUGGGCGGAAGCCUGAUCCAGCCAUGCCGCGUGUGUGAAGAAGGCCUUUUGGUUGUAAAGCACUUUAAGCGAGGAGGAGGCUCCUUUAGUUAAUACCUAAAGUGAGUGGACGUUACUCGCAAAAUAAGCACCGGCUAACUCUGUGCCAGCAGCCGCGGUAAUACAGAGGGUGCGAGCGUUAAUCGGAUUUACUGGGCGUA
rnacentral:rRNA from 1 species